rnacentral:rRNA from 1 species
UACAGAGGCCUCAAGCGUUAUCCGGAUUUACUGGGCGUAAAGAGCUCACAGGUGGUUUGUUAAGUCGGGCAUGAAAGCCCAGGGCUUAACCCUGGAUCCGUGUUCGAAACUAACAAACUAGAGACUGGAAGGGGCAAGUAGAAUUGCUGGUGUAGCAGUAAAAUGCGUUAAUAUCAGCAGGAAUGCCAAUGGCGAAAGCAGCUUGCUUGAACAGUUCUGACACUACAAGAGCGAAAGCGUGGGUAGCGAA